GACGAACGCUGGCGGCGUGCUUAACACAUGCAAGUCGAGCGGAGCGGCGAACGGGUGAGUAACGCGUGAGUAACUGCCCCCCUCUCUGGGUUAACAGUUGGAAACGGCUGCUAAUACCGGAUAGUGGGGGAUGACUAGGGUCCUAUCGGCUUGUUGGUGGGGUAGUGGCCUACCAAGGCGCCGACGGGUAGCCGGACUGAGAGGGCGAGCGGCCACAAUGGGCUGAGCUACUGCCCUAACGCCAACGGGAGACAGCAGUGAGGAAUAGUGCACAAUAGGGGAAGCCCUGAUGGAGCAAACCACGGGCGGGAUGACGGCCUUCGGGUUGUAAACCGCUUUGAGCAAUGACGCGGUAGUGGCAGAAGAAGCACCGGAUAACAACGUGCCAGCAGCCGCGGUAAUAC
rnacentral:rRNA from 1 species